UACGUAGGGCGCAAGCGUUGUCCGGAAUUAUUGGGCGUAAAGAGCUCGUAGGCGGUCUGUUGCGUCCGCUGUGAAAACUCGGGGCUUAACCCCGAGCCUGCAGUGGAUACGGGCAGACUAGAGGUAGGUAGGGGAGAAUGGAAUUCCCGGUGUAGCGGUGAAAUGCGCAGAUAUCGGGAGGAGCACCGGUGGCGAAGGCGGUUCUCUGGGCCUUACCUGACGCUGAGGAGCGAAAGCGUGGGGAGCGAACAGG
rnacentral:rRNA from 1 species